UUAAGAAAACAUUCAUAAAUGUCAGAUUGUUCCACUUAACCUCUGCAGCCAAGGAUCAGAAUUCUAAAGCGUAUUCCACAAGCGUUCUGUUACCUUGUCUAAGGUGCAAAAGAGAUCUGGCUGCAUUGGCAUUCCUGCCUGGAGGAUCUCCUAAAUGCUGCAACAAAAGCAUUGUAGUUGUAUACCAAAGGAUUAUCAUUCUUCCAUAAAGGAUUAGCC